UUGGAGGGCAAGUCUGGUGCCAGCAGCCGCGGUAAUUCCAGCUCCAAUAGCGUAUAUUAAAGUUGUUGCAGUUAAAAAGCUCGUAGUUGAAUUUCGGGGUUAGUAGGUUGGUCAUGCCUCUGGUAUGUACUGAUCUCACUGAUUCCUCCUUCCUGAUGAACCGUAAUGCCAUUAAUUUGGUGUUGCGGGGAAUUUGGACUGUUACUUUGAAAAAAUUAGAGUGUUUAAAGCAGGC
rnacentral:rRNA from 1 species